rnacentral:rRNA from 1 species
AGAGUUUGAUCAUGGCUCAGAGUGAACGCUGGCGGCAGGCCUAACACAUGCAAGUCGAGCGGCAGCGCGGGGGCAACCCUGGCGGCGAGCGGCGGACGGGUGAGGAAUACAUCGGAAUCUACCUUGUUGUGGGGGAUAACGUAGGGAAACUUACGCUAAUACCGCAUAAGACCUGAGGGUGAAAGCGGGGGACCGCAAGGCCUCGCGCGACAAGAUGAGCCGAUGUCCGAUUAGCUAGUUGGUGAGGUAAAGGCUCACCAAGGCGACGAUCGGUAGCUGGUCUGAGAGGAUGAUCAGCCACACUGGAACUGAGACACGGUCCAGACUCCUACGGGAGGCAGCAGUGGGGAAUAUUGGACAAUGGGGGCAACCCUGAUCCAGCCAUGCCGCGUGUGUGAAGAAGGCCUUCGGGUUGUAAAGCACUUUUGUCCGGGAAGAAAUCUCACGAUUUAAUACGUCGGGAGGAUGACGGUACCGGAAGAAUAAGCACCGGCUAACUUCGUGCCAGCAGCCGCGGUAAUACGAAGGGUGCAAGCGUUACUCGGAAUUACUGGGCGUAAAGCGUGCGUAGGUGGUUCGUUAAGUCUGCCGUGAAAGCCCCGGGCUCAACCUGGGAAUGGCGGUGGAUACUGGCGGACUAGAGUGCGGUAGAGGGUGGUGGAAUUCCCGGUGUAGCAGUGAAAUGCGUAGAGAUCGGGAG